GACGAACGCUGGCGGCGUGCUUAACACAUGCAAGUCGAACGGAAAGGCCCUGCUUUUGUGGGGUGCUCGAGUGGCGAACGGGUGAGUAACACGUGAGUAACCUGCCCUUGACUUUGGGAUAACUUCAGGAAACUGGGGCUAAUACCGGAUAGGAGCUCCUGCUGCAUGGUGGGGGUUGGAAAGUUUCGGCGGGUGGGGAUGGACUCGCGGCUUAUCAGCUUGUUGGUGGGGUAGUGGCUUACCAAGGCUUUGACGGGUAGCCGGCCUGAGAGGGUGACCGGGCACAUGGGUAUUGGGGAGCGGCCCAGGCCGCUUAGGGGGGAAGGGGGGGGAGAUUUAGCAAGAUGGGCGGAGGGCUGGUGGAAGAACGCCGGGUGGGGGAUGACGGCCUUCGGGUUGAAAACCGCUUUCGCUUGUAACGAAGCGUGAGGGAGGUAAAUGGGGAAAAAAGAACGGCUAAAUUAGGU
rnacentral:rRNA from 1 species